rfam:Ixodes scapularis strain Wikel colony gcontig_1108378390180, whole genome shotgun sequence.
CCCUGGUUAGGUCAUCUGGUAAAGCGCUCCACCUGUACUGGAGAGGUCCCGGGUUCGAUACCUGGACCAGGUG